rnacentral:rRNA from 1 species
GACGAACGCUGGCGGCGUGCUUAACACAUGCAAGUCGAACGGAAAGGCCCUGCUUUUGUGGGGUGCUCGUGUGGCGAACGGGUGAGUAACACGUGAGUAACCUGCCCUUGACUUUGGGAUAACUUUAGGAAACUGGGGCUAAUACCGCAUAGGAGCUCCUGCUGCACGGGGGGGGUUGGAAAGUUUGGGCGGUGGUGGAUGGACUAGCGGCUUAUCAGCUUGUUGGUGGGGUAGUGGCUUACGAGGGCUUCGACGGGUAGCCGGCCUUGGAGGGGGACCGGCGUCCAGACGACUGCGGUACGGCGCAGACGCCUACGGGAGGCAGUAGUCGAGAGUAUUGCGCAGUAGGCGGGAGCCUGAUGUGGCAGCGCUGCGUGCGGGAUGACGGCCUUCGAGUGGUAAACAACUUUCGCCUUUGACGAAGAGGGAGUGACGGUAACUGGUAAAGAAGCACCGGCUAACUACGUG